UAUUGUGUGAGGUGCAAUGUGUGCUUUGA
rnacentral:piRNA from 1 species